GUUUGGGGGAGGUUUGCAUCAGCUUCCUGAAGCGGUUCUGCUGGGAGCACAUUUGAGAACAACAGUGAAAUCAGUUCUGCACCUGCUCAGCUGUUUUCCAGAGGUGAAUCCAGGAGCUCAGCAGCUACGUGAGGAUAUCUAAUUCCCUUUUUCCACCCUGCUCCCACAUGUGCUCCUGCCCUCCAAAGCAAACAGCAGCAGGCAACAGCAGCACUGCUUUCCAUGAAUUGUUUUGCUCUGUUUUCGAAGAAGAGACUGGGGAAAAUCUGUGGAAACUUUCUCGCUGGCCCAGGCAAGUCGAGAGAAAGAAAAACAUUGCUCCAGAGUCAAAAUUGAAAUGGUUUUGGUUUUUCUUGUGUUCAAAGAUGAACAGGAAAGGCAGUUCAUGAGGGAAAAGGGAACGGCUGCUGUAGAAACCACAAAAAAGCUUUCGAGGACCUGGCUCCAAUCCUGCUGUGCUUGGAUGAGCUGCUGGUUCACAACCUGGAUGUCACCAAGAGUCAGGCACGAUCAGCUACUCUGCAACAACAGAAAACUGUGGGACCUGGAAGGGGUUCUAUAGGUAAAAUUCACUGUUGGAUGGGGCAGCAAAGAGGCAGCUGCUGUUUGAUCAGAAUUACUUCAGUGUGGAUCUGAGCUUCCUGAAUCUCUGCUACAAUUCCAAGCCUUGUUCUUCCUCUUGCACCCCACCCAGGAUCAAAGACAGGAGAAUAAAAUAAAAGGAAGUGGUUGAAAUGGUCUUGAAAGAGGAAAUUCUUGUCUAAUUCCAGGACAUGGCAGAGGCUGUGUGUUCUGCAUGGGGAGACUCUCUCAUCUCCCAGGCCUGGAAAAGCCAUUGGCAGUUCUGAAUCUAGAACUAAAGAUUUCCUCCCCUCUGGCCUCAGAAAGGAAGAAAAAAGAGGAGUGUUUUUGUGCCUGCAAAGGGUGGCUGGUUCCAUGGGAGGAACCCUGUCCUGGCUGUUUGGGAGGCAGGACGUCAGCCUCGGAAGGCCAAGAGUUUAUUUUGGAAAAGCAAGCUUCACAUUUCUCAUCUGCAGCACAUGGAUGCGCUUCACCUCCUUCUCUGCCUCCUCCUCUUCUGUGCCUUUCCUGCCAGGAUGCUCUCAGCCCUCCUGGUGGCCCUGUCCCCAGCCCUGGGGGACACACCCCCACAGUGUCACUGCAUCCCUGUUGGCAGCAAAGCUCCUGGCACAGGAGGGGAAAGCUGGAGGCAGCUUUCCUCUUCCCAACCUCACUGUGGAGCUUCCCCGCUGGAAAACUUUGGCUUCUCCAGUUUCCCACACUUCAGCUCAUCCACUCCUUCCCUGAGAUUCCGAAGUGCUUUGUGGGAAGCCAAAACACCUGCUCUGUGAACUCAGAUCCUGGAGGAAAGUUGGCAGAGAUGUCCUUCCUGGACUGGAAUGAAGAUUUUGUUUUUGUAUUGCAGGUAGAUAAGAUUCCUUCUGUCUCUCCUGGAGCACCUGGCACUCUGCUCCAGGAAUUAUCUCGGAUGUGCCAGCUUGUGCCCUGGCUCCCUGAACGUGCCAUCUCCCAGCCAGCAUUCCCAUCCUGCUUGCAGGAGGUGCCAGUGUCACUCCCAGAGCUCUGCUCUUCCUGCUGGGUGAAGAACGGCAUCACUCGGCUCUGCCAGCUCUUAUUCCCACCUCAUCCAGCUGUGUGAAGUCAGGCCAGGAGUCUGAUCUGGAAUUAGGGAAUGACAGUGAGGACUUAAUCCCGUGUACAAUUAGUGGUCAAGACUCAGCUCCCGAGACACAAGGGAAGAGACGCAGCUCCUGCUGUUUUCCUUUUCAGCAACAGCCCAGUAAUUCCCUAAAUCCAAACUUUGGAUCGCUCUGCUAUCCUUUUGGAAAGGGGAACAAAAAUAACAUCACUAAGCCCACUGCAGCCCCUUGAAGUGGACUCAAAUGGAAAUAAAAGUCCUUUGAGGAGUGAGCUUUGGAUGGAUUUUUCACUGAGCGUCCAAAAAUUCCUUGGAAAGACCAUGUCGGCCAAAGGCCAGGGUCUGGGCUGUGUACCUGUGCUCUGUCCAGAUGGAGGAGAAAUAGAACAGAUGCACCAAGAUGAAGAGAAGGCUUCAGAGUGUUUGCAGAGCCUCCUGUUCGCUGAAAGGGCUGGAAAGUGAUUUAGAAAAUGAUUCCUUUGAACAUGAGGAAAAAAUUGUCUUGGACAGAGCUACCGGUGCCCUUCCAAGCUUCCAGAGGUGGGGAAAUGUCAUUUGCCUGCAAGAACUCAACCCAACCCCUCCCUUGGGUCAGCUGCCUCUGUGUGAGAGGCUGGAGGGGGAGGAGACAAACACAUGGGAAGUCAAAUGAGGCUCUUAAAAUAUUUGGCCUUCCUCUGAUUGAGGUUAAAGUUGGCGAUGCUUUGGUGGAGGUUUUUUUUUGCUAUGACUUUGCCCAAAUGUCCAAGGAGAUCUGAGAUUGCACUGCUCUCCCAGGUUCAGGAGUGAGGGGCAAAAGGAAAGAAAAUUCUUUGGCGAACAUAGAUGGAUAAAGAAAACUCUGCACUUCCUGUCCCAUCUUACACAAGGCAAGGAAUCCAGCACCUCUCUGGCCACGGCUUCAGUGGGGCUUCAGCUCCUGAAAAGCAGCUGAUGUGGGCUCUGGAUGGGAAAAUCAGACUCCAUUCCUCUUCUCUAUAUUUUAGACAUCAUUGUCUUUCCACUGCAAAUAGAGAAAUUUAAAAAAACAGGGAUUGGAGUAGGGUUUUUUCUACUCUAUUAACUGUGGGCACAGAAAAAGGAAAACCAGGCAUGCAGACAAGUAUUGGCAAUGAUUUCCAUGGAAACCUGGGGUUUUUAACAACUCUGGAGACUGAUGGUGAUGUAUGUUCACUAAAGGUGAAGCUCUGGCAGCUGGAGUUAGGGCUGAAACCACUGGAUCGAACACGGAAAUCAACGUGGGACUAAUGUUGAGCCUGAUGGAAAAACAUGGGGCUCACAGUGAAAUACUCACAGGCCAGACAAGCAAAUCAGGUAAUUUAAUAAUAAUAAUAACAAUAAUAUGGAAGGAAUUUGACCAAGAAUAACCAAUCUCAGAUCUAUGGACACCAGAGCCUGCUUUCUGUUUAUAAUAUUGCUUUACAACCUCCUGGCAGCAUUCCUGAGCCUAAAAGUGGUGUUCAAUUCCCUUCCCGCUGAAGGCCUGUGUAUUCCACUACUGUGGGCUGGUUUGGGACAGCAGGGAACUGGCCAGGAACCGCAUAGGAUGAGAAAAGCAGAACUGACAAGUGUAAAAAUCUGGAUGUGCUGAGUCCAGUGAUGUAUUUGAGCUGCAGCAAGGCGUCAAAUGCAACAAGGACGGAACUGAUCCAGCCCCAGGCCUUUGUUGUGGAAGAUGGAGAAGUUCCUCACUUCCAUGAAGGAGACCCUGAGGAAGAGACACUGAGGUUUAAGAUCUUGUGUCACAUUUAGUCUCUCAUUUUUGCUGUGAUUUGUCUCUGUGGAUUUAGGGACUUUAUCCUUCAUUUUCAGCUCACUUUAAAUGUGUAAAUUGGCAUACAGCUGAACCCGUGAAAAGAAGUGCACACAUCUGUCACCGCUGAUAUUACCCAAGGGUUUCUGACGAGGAAAGAUCUGGAUGUGUUGCUGGAAGCAGCAGUUAAACAGAAAAAGGAGCUGCUGCCAUGGAGAAAGGGCACAGGGAAGAGCAGGAGAGAUCUUGCUGCUGUUCACUGGGGCAGAGCCGUGGAUUUGUAAAUCAGGGCUUGGUGCAGCCAGUCCUGGUCUCUGCCCUCGGGCUGGGUUUGGUUGCAGCAUCCCCUGAAGUCUCUGGAACAUCAUCCUGCAGUGGAAAUAAGUUGCCUUCCGAUAUUGUUACUGGUUUGUGGAUGUGACCGGAUUGACGAAGCUGGAGCUGCAGUUCAACCCUGUCUCACCUUCUCCUGGACUUUCCAGGCCAGCAGUGAACCUGAGGACUGCACUUCUGCCCCCAUGGAUCCAGAGAGCCUGGCUCGGGUCGGCUCACCUCCUCUUACCCCAACUGGGCUGACUGGCGCCCUGUGCUGAAGAAAAAGACUGGAACUAACCCUGAGUGUGAUGUGACUUCACAGGGAACAGAGAGGAAACCCCCCAGUAGAUGGGUAGCAGUGGGAGAUUCAUGCAUGGAAGUUCUGUGCCUGAAAGAUUGUCUGUCUUCAGCUGUCAUCCACUUUAAUAAAGGCAGGAUGGAGUGGGAGCUGCUUUCCUUACCUUCACUGCUGCAACAGCGCUGCAGCAAAACUGGCUCAGUGUGCAGAGCGGGAGAGAAAGUUGUCUUUUCAAAGAGACAAGCAGACAGACAGACAGUGAGCCAGCUUCUCCCCUGUUCUGUGCACGGAACUCCAGAACUAUUAAAGGAGCUGUUUGUAACCAGGAGCAGAAUCAAACCGCUGGCGGAGCUCCCCGCAAGAGAUUCCCAGUUCAAUCCUGGCUGGCAUUUUAACAGGAACAGCUCCUCAGCAGCAGCAUCAGGGUUAAACAUGUGUGCAAUUGCAGAAAUGCCCCAAGAAGAACCAAGGAAAUAUUUCCAUCUUAAACUCCGAUAAGGAGUGAAAAUGUGCAACUCGUUCCAUAUGGUGGCUGCAAGGCCCGAGCCAAGCGGAAAAGCCGUGGAGUCUGCCAAUCCCUAAGAACUUGCAAGCCUGAUAAAUGAGUGCCUUGCUUUGGGAAAGCCAGAGACAGAGUCACACUAGAAAGGAGAAAACAGAAGAAAAGUGAGGAGUCUUUAAAAAAAAAAAAAAAAUAAAGCCAAGUCUUCCCCAUUCGUCUUGUCGGCUGGCAGCAAGAAUUUCUGGAAAUGUUUUACAUGUCAAAGAUUUAACCAAGCUGGGAUGUUUGUGGACAAGCUGUUAUAGGCAAUGAAUAAAUAAAUCAGGAAAAGAGUCUAUCUCCUGCUUUACAACAACGAUCCUGCCCUGAGACAGCUGCAUUCUUCUGGGAUACUCUGUGCAAGCCAGGGUGGAAGUGCUCGAAGCCGGAGCGUUCUCGGGUUUCUCCAGCACUGACAUGGAAGAGAGCACUGUGCUUGGUCAUGCAGCAGAGAGGGAAAAGCUGGAGGGGCAGCUCUGGCCGGAGAAGCACCUGGGCAUCCUCCAGAGGGAUGCAGAUCCCAGGGCUGUGAGCACCCCCAGCAGCAGGAAUGGGUGCUCAGUAAACAGCAGUGGCACCGUCUGGCACAGGGGUCAGGGAUCAGGGAGAGCUCCAGCGGAGCUGGGAGGGAGCAGAGGGUCAGGGCAGAUCAGCCUCUCCUGCUCAGGGCCUGAGAUUUGACAGGGCUGCAUUCCUGGCUGAGGGGAUCUGGCUGUGCCAUGGAUUUCUGGAGAGGAGUGGGCAAAUCCACAGCUUGGCUGCCUGGAGGGAAGGCCGUGCCUUUGGAAAAGUCUUUUGGCCUCCUCCAGCCAAACACGCUCCCAUGUUAAAUCAGAAAUAGAGGAGGAAAUCAAGCGUACAAACAAAAUCCCCUCCCAUUUCUUCUCCAAAUAGGGAUUUUUUUCUAAAUCCAGGAGCUGCUUUGAAGCUCCGAGGUCCCCUGCUAUAGGAAAUCUUAGCUGGCUCCUUUGCCUAAGCAAAUUUGUUGUAAUGAGGUUUUUCUGUUACAUCAGGACUUCAGCAGUGUCACCUGUGCCAGCUCGCUGACUUCUCCCCAGCCAAGAGUGUUUUGCUGGGCUAAAAGGAGCAACAAAAAGAGCAAACCCUGCAGGCUGUAAAUUGCUGGGCAAGGUGAUAAAUGCUACGUGAAAUGGCCACUAUAAUCUGUCUGGAAAGUUGAAAGGAAUCCUGCCUUCUCGGGAGCCUAAAAUACUUCUUUUACUAGAAUACCUUAUUUUCCAGCUGUGUGCCACAUUAGUCACUUGCCAAAAUAUUUGUUCUCUGGUCUGUGCUUCUGUCUUGCAGCUGCUGACAAAACUGGACGCUCAAAAUUUCCCUGGCAGAAGCGAAAUAAGAAUUUCCUGUAUUUUGUGUGCGGUUCUAGAGCAGCUGGGUUAUUAUGGUGGCACCUGGGGACAUCCAGGUUACUCCUGGAUUUAUUUACUGGAGAAGGCUCAGAUGGAAGGAGGUACCUGAGCACUGGCAAGAUGCUUUGCUCUGGCUGUUGCCCACCUCCAGUCCAGUCUCUCCCGUCACCCUACUGUGGCUUUUCCAGGGCUGUCACCUCCCCUCUGUGUUGCCCAAUGUGCUGUUCACUGUCCCAGGCUCAUGGCAGGGAGGUGCUGCGCAAUCCCACCCCUCUGUGCCCUCAAGCCUGGCAUUUAUUAUGUGCUGAGGCUUUCUUGAGCCAGCCCAAGCCAUUGGAGGGAAGUCCUCUCUAGAUCUGGGCCGGCCAAAAAUUAAGUGGGUGGGAAGACUUCAGAGAUGAAAUGAUGAGACUUCUCAGAUGAUGGGCCCUUUGAUUUCCAUUUAAAAACAAGUUAAAGAGCGAGCUUUGGUUAUGACAUCUGUGUCCUUGCAAAACACCCUCCCACUGAAGGUCUGUGUAUGAAUUAUAGGGUCAGAUUUUCCUUUGUGUUUUAUUUUUUGCCAUCAUUUACAGCUCUGAAAAAUUCCUGUAAAUACGCUCAGCUUUACACCCUGUUUUCCCACGGAGCCUCUGCGUGGAUGAACGGAUUCUGUCAAAGAUUUCAUAAACAUGAAUAAUAAACCCAGUUUGCCUCCCUUCAGCUCUUUUUUUAUUACGUAAGAGAGGAUCUGGAGCAUCUGAAGAAGACCCUGAGCUGAGGUCUGGGAAAUUUUGAGUGUGUUCUCCAGCUGAAUGUUUGCCACAUUUUGGGUUUGUGCCAUGCCAAGGAGCCAGCAAAAAAACUCAUCCGCAGGGGUUGAUGUCCAUGUUCUCCCUGGGUAUUGUUCCUUCUAAAGCAUUGCCGACUUGGGCAAUCAUAAAUCUGUACCAAACAUUGCAACAUUUGUUUAUCAAGGUUUUCUACCGCAGAAAAUCCCUUUAAUGAAAACACACUUUUGAGGGACUUCUUGAGGCUGAAGCUUGGAAGAGAUCCCAAUCUCCUGACCUGAGGUUCUGGCUCAAUCUCCCAGAUGGAGAAGAUGCAGCUUUUGAGACAGCUCUUGAAGAAAUCCCUCUGCCAUUUCCAUCCCUUCUGCAUUCACCCAGCGAAACCCCGGCUCUGCAAGGACCGGCUUCCUCCACUCAGCAUCUUUGGGACACCCAUCGAUCAGUGACAGGGAAUUGGAGUGAGAGAAGGAAAAGAAACUCUUCAGAUCCAGGAAACAUCCGCUGCUGGCCCAUCUCCACUGGUUUUGGUGGAGCUGUGCCAGGGUGGAGCUUGGCCCCGGCGUUUUUCAAGUUAUUAUUCUUUCAUUGAUUAUUUGCUGGAGUGCAUUAAAAGCCUGACUUUUCCAUCUGCUUCCUCAUGGAUUUUCUUGCCUUCUGUGAUGAGCACAGUUUGUUUUUGUGCUUGGCUUUCACUCUGCAAACGCUGGGCUAAUGAUGAAGAGGGGUUUUUUUUGGGAAUCGUGGGCCACGUGCACAGGUUUAUACAGGGUUUGUUAUUCCAGACACAAGCUAACACCAAGGUAUGUGUAUGUAGCUGGAGGAAAAAAAAAAAUCAAAGGCAGAAAAAUUAGUUGUGAAGGCAAACCAGCAUGUUUGAAAUACUGAACUAUCUUUUUCUCCAGUUUAUUGAAGUUUUAAUAAAUAGUCCCAUAUUUAAAAGCAGAAAUAGUUGCAAAGACGAGGACAUUUUAAUCGCAGCCUAACCUGCCUGUAGUUUAGAUGACAAUUUAGAUGAGCACUUAAAUAGAAACAAUCAAUGUUAAUUAGAACAAUUAAGUUAAUCAUAAAGGUGAUUGUAAACAAGUCGAAUGUUUAGAUAACAAUUCAUUAUCUCGAUGCCCUCCGUAAGGCCCCAUUUCCCAACCCAGCUUCCUCUGCCAAGUUCACCCUUUCCACGGGAGGAUGUGGGAAUGGAGAGCUCAACAAUGCUUUUAAAAACCAGAGAUCAAGGACAGCUGCUGAAAGCUGGGUAUCCGGUUGAUGCCAGAAGGUGGAUUUGGGAUAUAAAAUUCCUUGCUCAGGUGAGAUCCCAAAGAAGUCCCAAAUGAAGCAGAGAUUUGAGUUCCAGCCAUAUUUGGUUUUUAGGACAUGCGAAGAAGAACCCACCCAAGCCUCUGCAACAGGAGGAGACUCUGGAAAAUUCUCCAGCAGAAAAUGGGUCUGGAGUGCAGCAAGAGAUUCCCCAGGAUGGAGUUUGAAGGGAGGGGACAGAACCUGUUCUGUCAGCACUUUCAGAAAGAUGCCGACUUCCAGCUCAUCUAAAUUUCAUCAAGGUUCUUUCCAAGGGGUGGCUGCUGGAAAAGCAGCAUCCCAGUGCCCUGGUGGGAAAGCUCCUCCAAUGGAUUCCACAGGAAGCAGGCUCCCCAGGAGCCCUUGGUGGGCAGCAAUAACGGGGCUCCAAAGGCCCCUGGUCCUCUGAUAACGACUGUGGCUUGUGAGCACGGCUGGGGAGAGCUCAUCCCUCCUCUGCACCACCACUGGGCCUCGGGCUGUAAAUGUCUUCCAGCUGGAACGUCCGGGAAAACACUGAUAAGCCCUGGCUGUCCCCCCAGCUGGGAAUGAUGGAUUUUCCAGAGCUAACUCGAUGUACCCAGCUCCCUUCUCCUCCACAGUGGGAGCAUAUGGAAUGUAUUGUGGUCUGAGGGAAACGCAUCCUAAGAAUUCCUCCUGCGUCUCUUCGGGAGCGUUCCAGGGUGGAUCCCAGCAGGUGUCAUGGAAUCGCCAACUCGAAGCGGGGUAAGUGAUGAGCACCCAAAAUCUCAGCAGAGCUUUGCAGCCAAAAGUUUUGCUGUUCCUUGGGUUUGGGGGAGACUUGCAAUGGAAGCUUCGAAAAGACUUUCCAAGGAGAGGGGACAAUGAGGAAAUAUCCAAGAUGUGCCUGGAAUAAAGCUGCUCCUGCCAAGGGUCUGAUAAGCAGUUUCCAGAAUAUGGUUUUUAUCCUCUGCUGCCCGAGGAAUCCAAUCAAACACCCUUGACACUCCUCUGCAGGGAAUGCCUGGAAGAUGCCCACUGACUACUGGGGUAUUUCAGCUCUCAAGGUGUCCUCAAUUGAAAUUUUUCUUUGAAAUAAAUAGAAAUCCAAGUUUUAUCUGUGGUUACUUUUUCGACCAAAAGCAAUCGGCCAAAUCCUGUGGUUUUGCAGCACCAGAGAGGACAGUCAUUCCCACAGGGUAAAUCCAUUCUGUUUUUCAUUUGUGCUACAAUCUACUCCGGGUAAAACACGGGAUCAAGCUGAAAGCCCAGCACAGGCGCAUCCACUACAGUCAGAGCUGAGAUAAAAAUCUGUGCGUUGAUCCACGAGGCUGAAUUAUGCUCUAUGGAAAACCACUGCCCGAGUCCUCUUCCAGGAAAAGGCACGGCAUGCUGGAAAUAUAGAGAGGCUGGAGGAGAGAGCCGGGCACAUCGGAGCAUUCCCCUCCCUGGAAGGGCUGUGUCCUGCUGUGGGCUCGGCGUGGCUCUUUCCAGAGUGCUUUCACAUGUUGGAAGAGUUUUCCCCUGUGAAAUUUUCCCCACAGCACCGAGUGAGCCCUGAUUUAGUGCCCUUGGAGCAUCCAGGACAACGGAAUUGUGUUUGGUGUUGUGUCAACCCUGGAUAUAAACAUAGGCCUUAACUUAGGCCAGACCUGUGCCAGUCAGGCCUUUCUGCUGCCUCAGUCUCUCCUUGCUGAUCUGCAGAAUUUUUUAUGUUUUUGCCCCAAUCCAGGAACAUUCCUUGCUGCUCCUGUUGCAGGGAGUGUAGGAAGCUGGACACCUGUUAAUGUCAGUGGGCUCAGCUAUCAUUGGGCUUUUCCCUACAUCUUUCCUUUGGUUUCUCCCAUGUUUUGCCCACAACCUUCUCGCCCAGGAUCCUGGAAUCCAGAACACCUGGGUAAGAUGAGAAAACAGCUCUGAAAAAGUGUCUGGGCAAAUCAAUCCAUGGUUUUCCCUGGAAAGGACUUUCCUGUGAGGCUUUGCUCUGUGAGGAAAGGCUGUGUCAUGAACCUGUUGUGUGUCCCAAUAAAUUUUGGGAGCGUGUCUGGAGCCCACCACUGAAGGACAUGAGGUGGAGGAGAGGGAUUCUCCUCAAGGAGCUCUCCACAUCUCCAAACCAGAUUUCCAGGUGUCCAGACUCCAUCCACAGUCCAUGGAAGGUGAUAGGCAUCCCAAGAGAGCAUUUUUCAAACCAGCUGCUGUUUUUAGGGGGAAGGAAAGAGCUUUGAGGUGUCAGCCCCUUCCCAUAUUCCAGAAGUGACCUUUGGGGGCUAAUUUGGGUAAAUGAUCCCGACCAGCAUCACCCCAGGGGAGUGAUGCCAGACUGGGAGGAGUUCCUACAAACUGGGUUAUGAACAAAUUCCUCUCACUUGGAGGCUUAUGGGAAUUUGCUGCUAAACCAAGGAAAUGUAAAAGCUGAGGAGGUGUCCAACCCCUCCUGGCACUGGGGAUGCCCGAGGUUGUAACAAAGUGCCACUGGAAUAUCUGACACCUUGCCAGUGAGCCGUGUUUAAUAGGUCAGGCGGCAGAGGUGUCACAAAAUCAAUAACGUCGGAGUGGAGAUCUUUGCAGGUCCGACAGCUGAGUGGUUUAGGUUUGUUUGGGGUUCAUUUUUUGUGGGUCACUGUUGCUGCUGGGUUUUUUCCCCCUCCCUUCCACCAAAGUUUUCAGUUCCCUCGUGAGUUUUUCAGGUUUAACCCUCAGCCAGACCGGGAUUUGAUUUGCCAGAGAAUCCAGGUCUAUUAGGACCCACAGAGCACUUGGCAGGAUUUGUGCUGAGAAAUAUCUGGGAGAGUAGAAAAUAGGAGCCGUGUCCAAUCCCGUGGGGAAGGAGCUGAGCCUCGCAGACAGAGCUCCAGGCUCCAGCCCCAACCCCAGCCUGACAAUUGAGACAGACAAAUCCAGUGGCUGCUGGAUUACAGCACCAACGAGGAACGUGUGUUCUGCGCUGAUCAAAAGUCCCAAGCCCAGGCUGCUCUGCCUCUGAUCUGUAAAUACAUCACUGGUUUUUAUCACUCAUUUUUGCUUUAUCGCAGCGGGGCUGGUCUCAAGCGCUACAACCUGAUUAUCUGGCAGGAGGCUGCCAAAAGCAUGUCAGGGAUCGUUAGAGGGAAUAAUAAAGGAAGCAGGAGGAAUCAAGUGGUUUGAGGAGGAAAUCAGAGGGAAUUCCUGGCUGGGGUUGCCAGGCUGGGACUUGCAGUGAAAGAGGAGAGGACAGCUCAGGAUUCAGAAGCCUCCUCAAAUUAGUGAUGUGUUCAAUGGAAGUUCUGGGCAGGGCUGGGCUCCCUCAGCCUCAUUAAAAAUAUUCACACACAUGCCUGAAAUCUAGAGGAAAAACAGCAUUUAAAGCUGAAUUUCAACACCCCCCCCAAAAAAAAAAAAAAAAAAUUUUUAGCCUGUGGCUUUGAGUUUGUUAAAGCUCAGAAAGAAAUGGUGUCAGUUCAGUUUGUAGGAGAAUGAACAGCGGCACAGCUACAUUUUAUUUUGAUGAAUUAGAUAACAAGCAGCAAUAUUCUCGUGCCAAAAAUCCCACUUCUAGUCAAUUUUAAAAGAACAUCAUUUUAUAUUCAAGAAAACUUGAGGAUUACUAUGGAAGUAAACAGAUAUUUUUAGCUUGAAGCGGUCUGUAACUAAACACUUUGCUUUAAAAUAAUCAAACAAAGUGUUGGAGUUUCCUCCCUCCUUGAGCUUUGCCAAUUUAUUUGUGGUUAAAAAAUGUAUUAUGGAGUGGUUUGAUUGGAUUUCUACUUAUUUGGUGUAAAUGUAAAAUGUAACUGCGGCCAACAAAAAGUCCUUUAGCAAUAAUCCAAUUACUCAAACCUUGUUUGCUACUGGUUUGUGAUUACUACACGAGCAAAGGGGAUCUUCUCUAGUCAGAGAAAAGGACUCGGAUGUGAACUCAAGGUCUUGUAA